rnacentral:lncRNA from 1 species
UGGUAUUGAUUGUUGUUAGUAUUAUGUGAUCAAAUUAGAUAAGUCCUAUUUGAUCACUAUUUGUUUACUUAUAAAUUUUUGAUGAUUUUAGAAAAUUGUUUUUUUUUAAUUUUACAAAAUUCUUUUUGUAAUAUAUGCUCCGAGUUAUUUUAAAAAAAAUAUUAUGUAGAUGAUAUAAAUGAUUGUGUGAUUCAACUGACAACAG